rnacentral:lncRNA from 1 species
GGGGCAAAUUAAAGUUGGUCACAAUGUUCAAGCUUGAUGCUGUCUGAAUUUGGAUUGUGAUUGCAUUUUUGACAAAAUAAAGGUUUUUGUUACAAAAUAAAUGUGGUCAAAGAUCAACAAAUCUAUUGCACAAUACUGUGCAAUUGAAGAUUUCUUCUUGAAAAUUUUCAAAAUUUGAAAUUUGAAAAAAUUUUGAAAAAAAAAAA